GUAAGCUAUAAAGAGCGAAUGGUGGAUGCCUUGGGUAGUAAAGGCGAUGAAGGACGUACUAGACUGCGAUAAGCUAUGGAGAGCUGUCAAGAAGCUUUGACCCAUAGAUUUCCGAAUGGGGCAACCCAAUGUAUAGAGAUAUACAUUACCAUAAUGGAGCGAACGAGGGGAAUUGAAACAUCUUAGUACCCUCAGGAAAAGAAAUCAAUAGAGAUUAUGUUAGUAGCGGCGAGCGAAAACGUAAAAGGGCAAACCUAGUGCUUGCACUAGGGGUUGUAGGACUGCAAUAUGCACUAACUAAGCUUAGCAGAAUAUUCUGGAAAGUUUAAUCAUAGAGGGUGAUAAUCCCGUAUGCGAAAAGCAAAGUUUAGCUAGCAGUAUCCUGAGUAGGGCGAAACACGUGAAAUUUUGUCUGAAUCCGGGUCGACCACGAUCCAACCCUAAAUACUCAUACUACACCGAUAGCGAACAAGUACCGUGAGGGAAAGGUGAAAAGAACGGCGGUGAGCCGAGUGAAAUAGAACCUGAAACCAUUUGCUUACAAUCAUUCAGAGCCCUAUGGAGCAAUCCAGGGUGAUGGACUGCCUUUUGCAUAAUGAGCCUGCGAGUUGUGGUGUCUGGCAAGGUUAAGCACACGCGAAGCCGUAGCGAAAGCGAGUCUUAAAAGGGCGAUUAAGUCAGAUGCUGCAGACCCGAAACGAAGUGAUCUAUCCAUGAGCAGGUUGAAGCUAGUGUAAGAACUAGUGGAGGACCGAACCCGCUAGCGUUGAAAAGCUAUGGGAUGACUUGUGGAUAGGGGUGAAAGGCCAAUCAAACUUCGUGAUAGCUGGUUCUCUCCGAAAUAUAUUUAGGUAUAGCGUUGUGUCGUAACUAAAGGGGGUAGAGCACUGAAUGGGCUAGGGCAUACACCAAUGUACCAAACCCUAUCAAACUCCGAAUACCUUUAGUGUAAUCACAGCAGUCAGGCGGCGAGUGAUAAAAUCCGUCGUCAAGAGGGAAACAACCCAGACUAACAGCUAAGGUCCCCAAAUCUCAUUUAAGUGGAAAACGAUGUGAAGUUACUUAAACAACCAGGAGGUUGGCUUAGAAGCAGCCAUCCUUUAAAGAAAGCGUAAUAGCUCACUGGUCUAGUGAUUUUGUGCGGAAAAUAUAACGGGGCUAAAAUGAGUACCGAAGCUUUAGACUUGCAUACAAUUUAAAUUUCUUAAGCUUAGACUUUAUUGUAUUAAGUUAGGUUUAAAACGAGUAAUACAAGAAAGUUUUAAAGUGCUUAGGGAUAAAGAAAUUUAAAUUGUAUGCAAGUGGUAGGAGAGCGUUCUAUUUGCGUUGAAGGUAUACCGGUAAGGAGUGCUGGAGCGAAUAGAAGUGAGCAUGCAGGCAUGAGUAGCGAUAAAAGGGGUGAGAAUCCCCUUCGCCGUAAACCCAAGGUUUCCUACGCGAUGCUCGUCAUCGUAGGGUUAGUCGGGUCCUAAGUUGAGUCCGAAAGGGGUAGACGAUGGCAAAUUGGUUAAUAUUCCAAUACCAACAUUAAUGUGCGAUGGAAGGACGCUUAGGGCUAAGCAAGCUAGCGGAUGGAAGUGCUAGUCUAAGGUCGUAGGAGCUCAUACAGGAAAAUCCGUAUGGGACUACUCCGAGAGCUGAAAGGCUUCUCAAAGUCUUCGGAUAGCGAGGAGAAUUGCUGAUGCCGUCGAGCCAAGAAAAGUUUCUAAGUUUAGUUAAUGUUGCCCGUACCGUAAACCGACACAGGUGGGUGGGAUGAGUAUUCUAAGGCGCGUGGAAGAACUCUCUUUAAGGAACUCUGCAAAAUAGCACCGUAUCUUCGGUAUAAGGUGUGGUUAGCCUCGUAUUAGAAUUUACUUCGAAAGCGAGGAAACUUACAACAAAGAGUCCCUCCCGACUGUUUACCAAAAACACAGCACUCUGCUAACUCGUAAGAGGAUGUAUAGGGUGUGACGCCUGCCCGGUGCUCGAAGGUUAAUUGAUGGGGUUAGCAUUAGCGAAGCUCUUGAUCGAAGCCCGAGUAAACGGCGGCCGUAACUAUAACGGUCCUAAGGUAGCGAAAUUCCUUGUCGGUUAAAUACCGACCUGCAUGAAUGGCGUAACGAGAUGGGAGCUGUCUCAAAGAGGGAUCCAGUGAAAUUGUAGUGGAGGUGAAAAUUCCUCCUACCCGCGGCAAGACGGAAAGACCCCGUGGACCUUUACUACAGCUUGACACUGCUACUUGGAUAAGAAUGUGCAGGAUAGGUGGGAGGCUUUGAUUCAUAGACGCCAGUUUAUGAUGAGCCAUUGUUGAGAUACCACUCUUUCUUAUUUGGGUAGCUAACCAGCUUGAGUUAUCCUCAAGUGGGACAAUGUCUGGUGGGUAGUUUGACUGGGGCGGUCGCCUCCCAAAUAAUAACGGAGGCUUACAAAGGUUGGCUCAAGAUGGUUGGAAAUCAUCUGUAGAGUAUAAAGGUAUAAGCCAGCUUAACUGCAAGACAUACAAGUCAAGCAGAGACGAAAGUCGGUCUUAGUGAUCCGGUGGUUCUGUGUGGAAGGGCCAUCGCUCAAAGGAUAAAAGGUACCCCGGGGAUAACAGGCUGAUCUCCCCCAAGAGCUCACAUCGACGGGGAGGUUUGGCACCUCGAUGUCGGCUCAUCGCAUCCUGGGGCUGGAGCAGGUCCCAAGGGUAUGGCUGUUCGCCAUUUAAAGCGGUACGCGAGCUGGGUUCAGAACGUCGUGAGACAGUUCGGUCCCUAUCUGCCGUGGGCGUAAGAAGAUUGAAGAGAUUUGACCCUAGUACGAGAGGACCGGGUUGAACAAACCACUGGUGUAGCUGUUGUUCUGCCAAGAGCAUCGCAGCGUAGCUAAGUUUGGAAAGGAUAAACGCUGAAAGCAUCUAAGCGUGAAGCCAACUCUAAGAUGAAUCUUCUCUAAGCUCUCUAGUAGACUACUAGUUUGAUAGGCUGGGUGUGUAAGAAAUGAAAGUUUCUUAGCUGACCAGCACUAAUAGAGCGUUUGGCUUAUCAUAUUAAGCAU
rnacentral:rRNA from 1 species